rnacentral:misc_RNA from 1 species
UGUAGGAGCUGCCGAAGGCUGCGAUCUUUUUGAUCUUGAUUCCCUUAAAACAAAAUCGAAAGAUCGCAGCCUUCGGCAGCUCCUACA